rnacentral:rRNA from 1 species
AGGACGAACGCUGGCGGCGUGCCUAAUACAUGCAAGUAGAACGCUGAGGUUNGGUGUUUACACUAGACUGAUGAGUUGCGAACGGGUGAGUAACGCGUAGGUAACCUGCCUCAUAGCGGGGGAUAACUAUUGGAAACGAUAGCUAAUACCGCAUAAGAGUAAUUAACACAUGUUAGUUAUUUAAAAGGAGCAAUUGCUUCACUGUGAGAUGGACCUGCGUUGUAUUAGCUAGUUGGUGAGGUAAAGGCUCACCAAGGCGACGAUACAAAGCCGACCUGAGAGGGUGAUCGGCCACACUGGGACUGAGACACGGCCCAGACUCCUACGGGAGGCAGCAGUAGGGAAUCUUCGGCAAUGGACGGAAGUCUGACCGAGCAACGCCGCGUGAGUGAAGAAGGUUUUCGGAUCGUAAAGCUCUGUUGUUAGAGAAGAACGUUGGUAGGAGUGGAAAAUCUACCAAGUGACGGUAACUAACCAGAAAGGGACGGCUAACUACGUGCCAGCAGCCGCGGUAAUACGUAGGUCCCGAGCGUUGUCCGGAUUUAUUGGGCGUAAAGCGAGCGCAGGCGGUUCUUUAAGUCUGAAGUUAAAGGCAGUGGCUUAACCAUUGUACGCUUUGGAAACUGGAGGACUUGAGUGCAGAAGGGGAGAGUGGAAUUCCAUGUGUAGCGGUGAAAUGCGUAGAUAUAUGGAGGAACACCGGUGGCGAAAGCGGCUCUCUGGUCUGUAACUGACGCUGAGGCUCGAAAGCGUGGGGAGCAAACAGGAUUAGAUACCCUGGUAGUCCACGCCGUAAACGAUGAGUGCUAGGUGUUAGGCCCUUUCCGGGGCUUAGUGCCGCAGCUAACGCAUUAAUCACUCCGCCU